GGUGAAAGGCUAAACAAAUCUGGAAAUAGCUGGUUCUCUCCGAAAACUAUUUAGGUAGUGCCUCAAGUAUUACUGCAGGGGGUAGAGCACUGUUAUGGCUAGGGGGUCAUGGCGACUUACCAAACCAUGGCAAACUCCGAAUACCUGCAAGUACAGCUUGGGAGACAGAGCACCGGGUGCUAACGUCCGGACUCAAGAGGGAAACAACCCAGACCGCCAGCUAAGGUCCCGAAUUAUCGCUAAGUGGGAAACGAAGUGGGAAGGCAUAGACAGUCAGGAGGUUGGCUUAGAAGCAGCCACCCUUUAAAGAAAGCGUAAUAGCUCACUGAUCGAGUCGUCCUGCGCGGAAGAUGUAACGGGGCUAAGCGAUAAACCGAAGCUGCGGGUGUGCACUUUUAGUGCACGCGGUAGGAGAGCGUUCUGUAAGCCUGCGAAGGUGGCUUGUAAAGGCUGCUGGAGGUAUCAGAAGUGCGAAUGCUGACAUGAGUAGCGAUAAAGGGGGUGAAAAGCCCCCUCGCCGUAAGUCCAAGGUUUCCUGCGCAACGUUCAUCGGCGCAGGGUGAGUCGGCCCCUAAGGCGAGGCAGAGAUGCGUAGCUGAUGGGAAGCUGGUUAAUAUUCCAGCACCGUCGUACAGUGCGAUGGGGGGACGGAUCGCGGAAGGUCAUCAGGGUGUUGGACGUCCCUGUUGCUGCAUUGAAGAUGGCGCUUAGGCAAAUCCGGGCGCGAGAAUCAAGGGUGUGGCACGAGCGAGCAAGUCUCGCGAAGUGAUUGGAAGUGGUUCCAAGAAAAGCCUCUAAGCUUCAGCUGUACGAGACCGUACCGCAAACCGACACAGGUGGACGGGAUGAAUAUUCCAAGGCGCUUGAGAGAACUCAGGAGAAGGAACUCGGCAAAUUGAUACCGUAACUUCGGGAGAAGGUAUACCCUGGUAGUGUGAAGCGCCUGCGCGCUGAGCAUGAAGGGGUCGCAGAGAAUCGGUGGCUGCGACUGUUUAUUAAAAACACAGCACUCUGCAAAGACGAAAGUCGACGUAUAGGGUGUGACGCCUGCCCGGUGCCGGAAGGUUAAGUGAUGGGGUGCAAGCUCUUGAUCGAAGCCCCGGUAAACGGCGGCCGUAACUAUAACGGUCCUAAGGUAGCGAAAUUCCUUGUCGGGUAAGUUCCGACCUGCACGAAUGGCGUAACGAUGGCCACACUGUCUCCUCCUGAGACUCAGCGAAGUUGAAGUGUUUGUGAUGAUGCAAUCUACCCGCGGCUAGACGGAAAGACCCCAUGAACCUUUACUGUAGCUUUGCAUUGGACUGUGAACCGGCCUGUGUAGGAUAGGUGGGAGGCGCAGAACUCGAGUCGCCAGAUUCGAGGGAGCCAUCCUUGAAAUACCACCCUGGUUUGUUUGCGGUUCUAACCUUGGUCCGUUAUCCGGAUCGGGGACAGUGCAUGGUAGGCAGUUUGACUGGGGCGGUCUCCUCCCAAAGCGUAACGGAGGAGUUCGAAGGUACGCUAGGUACGGUCGGAAAUCGUGCUGAUAGUGCAAUGGCAUAAGCGUGCUUGACUGUGAGACUGACAAGUCGAACAGGUGCGAAAGCAGGACAUAGUGAUCCGGUGGUUCUGAAUGGAAGGGCCAUCGCUCAACGGAUAAAAGGUACUCUGGGGAUAACAGGCUGAUACCGCCCAAGAGUUCAUAUCGACGGCGGUGUUUGGCACCUCGAUGUCGGCUCAUCUCAUCCUGGGGCUGUAGCCGGUCCCAAGGGUAUGGCUGUUCGCCAUUUAAAGAGGUACGUGAGCUGGGUUUAAAACGUCGUGAGACAGUUUGGUCCCUAUCUGCCGUGGGCGUUGGAUACUUGACGGAGCCUGCUCCUAGUACGAGAGGACCGGAGUGGACGUACCUCUGGUGUACCGGUUGUCAUGCCAAUGGCAUUGCCGGGUAGCUAAGUACGGAAGAGAUAACCGCUGAAGGCAUCUAAGCGGGAAACUCGUCUGAAGAUUAGGUAUCCCGGGGACUAGAUCCCCCUGAAGGGUCGUUCGAGACCAGGACGUUGAUAGGUCGGGUGUGGAAGCGCAGUAAUGCGUUAAGCUAACCGAUACUAAUUGCCCGUGAGGCUUGAUCCU
rnacentral:rRNA from 1 species